rnacentral:lncRNA from 1 species
AUGUCUGGUAAAGUUCUGGGCACCGAUACUGGCUACUUCCAAAGCGCAGCAGCUCUUGUUCCGCAUCGUGGAUUGCCUACUGCUGCCGCACUCUGUGCUCCAGCAGGACAAAGAGCUGCCCGUGGCGUUGCUGUCUGCCGUUCAGGAAAGCCUGCCUCUUUAUCUGCAGGGCCUGUCCUUUAUCUGUUGUCAGUCCCAAACACAGGGUGCCUAUUUAAAUCAACUGCUCGGGAGCAUUAUUCAACAGUAUUUUGGGCGAUUUCUCCCUUCUUCUCCGACCGCGCUUGGAGCCGGACAGCAUCCUAUGCUGACCGCCUUAGGCAGUUCCAUUACAGCCCCCCAGAUGCUCCGGCUACGGAAGACCACUCUGCACGUCGUAAAGUAAGGACCAGCAAAGUUUUAAAAAAAACCCAACAAAACAUCGCUUAUUCAGAUCUCAAAAAUAGCUAAAGAGAAAGGGAACGGCCGCUGUUCUCAGUAACUGAUAGUUUGGCUGGGGGAAGAGCCUGUGAGUUGCUGGGCAGGGAGCGGAGGAAGGACAACAUGGAUAGAGCAGGAGAGUAAAACUGGGAAGAUCUGGAGACCAGUGAGAGAGUCACUGAGGAUGGAGGUCCUAGCUGUAAGUAAAGGUAUCGCAGGGGGCCACAUGAAGAGCAAGUAUAUUUCUAGAAAAAUUAUAUAUAUAUAUACACACAAUGUACAGCAUUAUGUGUUUGUGUUUAGGGUCACAGAGUCAUAAAGCUUAUAGUUGUCACAGUGACCUGUACGCAGGAGGCCUCGUUGCUGUGUAGGUGUCGGGGUACACCGAGGUGUGCCACCUGCCACGGGGAACUGGGAAAUCUGGGGUGUGGGAAGAGGACGCAGAGGCAAGGAGACAGCACUGCUUCACUCCUCACACAACGUCAACAGCAGCUGUAAAUGCUGGGUCUCUGCUGCUGCUGCACGACCAAAACUAUUUUAUAUAUCUGGAGAAUAAGGAACAAUCUGUACUUUAUGCCCACAUUGGGAGAGGAAUGAAACCCUCUCGAAUAUAAGGUGAUUAUCUGUAUCCAAGGGAAUUGUAUUUUUCUGUCUGAUUGAUAAAGAGAAUUUUAAUGUUGAUUUUGGGUAAGUAUCAUAGGCAAUCUUGUAAAGCCUGUAUUUAAGGGAGUGAAUUAAGAUUUCACAGUCUUAAUUCUGACAUCUUUUUAACUUACAGAUACUCAGACUUUGUCAUCUUAAUAAUUUGUGAACGUGUGCAGGCACGUGUGAUUUUAAGAUCGAUAGUGGAGAGAAAGUUCUGAAAGUGUAAGGGCACUUGGUGAUUUGUGGGACAUGAGACGUUCCUGGGAAGAACAUCUCAGAAGUGAGCAGCAGCCUGAUUUGCAGACUGUUGGGCGCUAA